rnacentral:rRNA from 1 species
UACGAAGGGGGCUAGCGUUGCUCGGAAUCACUGGGCGUAAAGCGCACGUAGGCGGAUUGCUAAGUCAGGGGUGAAAUCCUGGAGCUCAACUCCAGAACUGCCUUUGAUACUGAAGAUCUUGAGUUCGGGAGAGGUGAGUGGAACUGCGAGUGUAGAGGUGAAAUUCGUAGAUAUUCGCAAGAACACCAGUGGCGAAGGCGGCUCACUGGCCCGAUACUGACGCUGAGGCACGGAAAGCGUGGGGAGCAAACAGG